AUUGAACGCUGGCGGCAGGCCUAACACAUGCAAGUCGAGCGGAUGAGAGGAGCUUGCUUCUCGAUUCAGCGGCGGACGGGUGAGUAAUGCCUAGGAAUCUGCCUGGUAGUGGGGGACAACGUUUCGAAAGGAACGCUAAUACCGCAUACGUCCUACGGGAGAAAGCAGGGGACCUUCGGGCCUUGCGCUAUCAGAUGAGCCUAGGUCGGAUUAGCUAGUUGGUGAGGUAAUGGCUCACCAAGGCGACGAUCCGUAACUGGUCUGAGAGGAUGAUCAGUCACACCGGAACUGAGACACGGUCCAGACUCCUACGGGAGGCAGCAGUGGGGAAUAUUGGACAAUGGGCGAAAGCCUGAUCCAGCCAUGCCGCGUGUGUGAAGAAGGUCUUCGGAUUGUAAAGCACUUUAAGUUGGGAGGAAGGGUUGUAGAUUAAUACUCUGCAAUUUUGACGUUACCGACAGAAUAAGCACCGGCUAACUCUGUGCCAGCAGCCGCGGUAACAC
rnacentral:rRNA from 1 species